GACAAACGAUAAUACACUUAAUAAUAAUAAUAAUAAUAAUAUUAAUAAUAAUGAUGAUAAGUCAAUAUCAAGCAACUUUUGAGCUAAACUGGAAUUUCACCUUAAGAAGAGUACCAAUUAUAACCACAAACCAUUUUGUCAUUGUAAAAUUCAGUGAACUGGUAACUCGCAACUCCCCUACUUUCAACUCCACGCUAGCACUUUUCCCACUCUUAAACGUAUGAUAACACCAUGCUGCAAAGCAGCUUUCUGUUGGUUACUGUUCUCUCUGGGGAUACCACAAAAAUAAAGUCAAAUUAAACACGGAUGUGGUUUUCUCCAAAUUGAACACAUAUUCUUAAAAAUAUUUCUUUUUCUGUAACAGACAUAAAAGAUGAUAUCCUUGCGAAUCCUGCAAGCCGUCGUUCUUUUUGGCGCAACACAGAUAAUGCCUGAUCAUGUAUCAAUCGCAGCGCCUACCUUGUCAAUGACAGGUAAGUAAAACUGACAUUAAAGAAGCUACAUCAUAUUUUGGUCAUCUUGAAAAGUUUAGCCUAAAUUUUUCAAUUUCGUCGUUUUUAAUCCGUUUUAAUCUUCUGGAC